rnacentral:rRNA from 1 species
GAUGAACGCUGGCGGCGUGCCUAAUACAUGCCAGUCGAGCGAACAGACGAGGAGCUUGCUCCUCUGACGUUAGCGGCGGACGGGUGAGUAACACGUGGAUAACCUACCUAUAAGACUGGGAUAACUUCGGGAAACCGGAGCUAAUACCGGAUAAUAUAUUGAACCGCAUGGUUCAAUAGUGAAAGACGGUUUUGCUGUCACUUAUAGAUGGAUCCGCGCCGCAUUAGCUAGUUGGUAAGGUAACGGCUUACCAAGGCAACGAUGCGUAGCCGACCUGAAGGGGUGGUCGGCCACCCUGGAACUGAGACACGGCACAGACUCCUAGGGGAGGAAGCAGUAGGGACUCUUCCGCAAUGGGCGAAAGCCUGACGGAGCAACGCCGCGUGAGUGAUGAAGGACUUCGGAUCGUAAAACUCUGUUAUUCGGGAAGAACAAAUGUGUAAGUAACUAUGCACGUCUUGACGGUACCUAAUCAGAAAGCCACGGCUAACUACGUG